GUGAGGAAUAUUGGUCAAUGGGCGAGAGCCUGAACCAGCCAAGUAGCGUGAAGGAUGAAGGUCCUAUGGAUUGUAAACUUCUUUUAUAGUAGAAUAAAGUGACCUACGUGUAGGUUUUUGUAUGUAUACUAUGAAUAAGGAUCGGCUAACUCCGUGCCAGCAGCCGCGGUAAUACGGAGGAUCCGAGCGUUAUCCGGAUUUAUUGGGUUUAAAGGGUGCGUAGGCGGAAUAGUAAGUCAGUUGUGAAAGUUUGCGGCUCAACCGUAAAAUUGCAGUUGAUACUGUUAUUCUUGAGUGUACAUAAGGUAGGCGGAAUUCGUGGUGUAGCGGUGAAAUGCUUAGAUAUCACGAAGAACUCCGAUUGCGAAGGCAGCUUACCGGGGUACAACUGACGCUGAGGCACGAAAGUGUGGGUAUCAAACAGGAUUAGAUACCCCAGUAUCC
rnacentral:rRNA from 1 species